rnacentral:rRNA from 1 species
AGUGGCGGACGGGUGAGUAACACGUGAGAAUCUACCUUCAGGUCAGGGACAACAGAUGGAAACGCCUGCUAAUCCCUGAUGAGCCCUUGGGUAAAAGAUUUAUUGCCUGGAGAGGAGCUCGCGUCUGAUUAGCUAGUUGGUGGGGUAAGAGCCUACCAAGGCAACGAUCAGUAGCUGGUUUGAGAGGACGAUCAGCCACACUGGGACUGAGACACGGCCCAGACUCCUACGGGAGGCAGCAGUGGGGAAUUUUCCGCAAUGGGCGAAAGCCUGACGGAGCAAUACCGCGUGAGGGAGGAAGGCCUUUGGGUCGUAAACCUCUUUUCUUAGGGAAGAAGCUCUGACGGUACCUAAGGAAUCAGCAUCGGCUAACUCCGUGCCAGCAGCCGCGGUAAUACGGAGGAUGCAAGCGUUAUCCGGAAUCAUUGGGCGUAAAGCGUCCGCAGGUGGCUAGUCAAGUCUGCUGUCAAAGGUCGGGGCUUAACUCCGAAAAGGCAGUGGAAACUGGCAAGCUAGAGUCCGGUAGGGGUAGAGGGAAUUCCCAGUGUAGCGGUGAAAUGCGUAGAGAUUGGGAAGAACAUCGGUGGCGAAAGCGCUCUACUGGGCCGGAACUGACACUGAGGGACGAAAGCUAAGGGAGCGAAUGGGAUUAGAUACCCCAGUAGUCUUAGCUGUAAACGAUGGAAACUAGGCGUGGCUUGUAUCGACCCGAGCCGUGCCGAAGCUAACGCGUUAAGUUUCCCGCCUGGGGAGUACGCACGCAAGUGUGAAACUCAAAGGAAUUGACGGGGGCCCGCACAAGCGGUGGAGUAUGUGGUUUAAUUCGAUGCAACGCGAAGAACCUUACCAGGGCUUGACAUGUCGCGAAUCUCUUGGAAACGAGAGAGUGCCUUAGGGAGCGCGAACACAGGUGGUGCAUGGCUGUCGUCAGCUCGUGUCGUGAGAUGUUGGGUUAAGUCCCGCAACGAGCGCAACCCUCGUUCUUAGUUGCCAGCAAUCAGAUGGGCACUCUAGGGAGACUGCCGGUGACAAACCGGAGGAAGGUGGGGAUGACGUCAAGUCAGCAUGCCCCUUACGUCCUGGGCGACACACGUACUACAAUGGCCGAGACAAAGGGCAGCGACCUCGCGAGAGCAAGCGAAUCCCAUCAAACUCGGUCUAAGUUCAGAUUGCAGGCUGAAACUCGCCUGCAUGAAGGAGGAAUCGCUAGUAAUCGCCGGUCAGCACACGGCGGUGAAUCCGUUCCCGGGCCUUGUACACACCGCCCGUCA